GGUUGCAUAGUGUAUAUAAAGCACAUCAGAUUGCAAAUCUGAAAGAGGGAUUAGUUUUCGCUGCUACCU
rnacentral:tRNA from 1 species